UCUACUGUUCCCAAGUUCCUAUCUCCUGUCCGGACCUCAGCCCUGAACUCCAAAUGUGUAUAUCCAACUGUCUACCUGACAUUGCCCCUGGGAUGUCACAUAAGCACUGCAGACCUGUUAUUCCAGCUACUCUUCCCCCACUGCUCCCCGCCUCAGUAAAGAGUGCUACCAGUGGUCCAGGUGCUUGUGUCAUAAACCCUGGAGCCAUCUUGCAGCCCCUCCCCUCUCCCUCAUGCACACCCACGCACACCCCCACGGUACUAGAAUAUUAAUCAGCCUUAAAAAGGAGGGAAGCUCUGACACAUGCUGCAAUAUGGAUGAGCCUUAAAGACAGUGCUCUUCUGCAGCCAGCCCACAGAGACCAGCUGCAAACCUUGAGAUUACUUUAAGGGUGACCUUACCAACAGGCACAGGGAAGAUCACGACUUUUGUGGAGAAAGGAAGUCCAUAAACCACACAAGGCUUUCCUGUAAGUGACAACUCAUCCAUGAAUAAAGAAUCACGUAUAACAUUUGUUAUGGC